CAGCAGCCACGGGAAUACGUAGGGUGCGAGCGUUAAUCGGAAUUACUGGGCGUAAAGCGUGCGCAGGCGGUUCGUUAAGACAGAUGUGAAAUCCCCGGGCUUAACCUGGGAACUGCAUUUGUGACUGGCGAGCUAGAGUAUGGCAGAGGGGGGUAGAAUUCCACGUGUAGCAGUGAAAUGCGUAGAGAUGUGGAGGAAUACCGAUGGCGAAGGCAGCCCCCUGGGCCAAUACUGACGCUCAUGCACGAAAGCGUGGGAAGCAAACAGGAUUAGAUACCCCAGUAGUCCCUGUCUCUUAUAC
rnacentral:rRNA from 1 species